rnacentral:rRNA from 1 species
AACGAACGCUGGCGGCAUGCCUAACACAUGCAAGUCGAACGAGACCUUCGGGUCUAGUGGCGCACGGGUGCGUAACGCGUGGGAACCUGCCCUUAGGUUCGGAAUAACUCCCCGAAAGGGGUGCUAAUACCGGAUAAUGUCUUCGGACCAAAGAUUUAUCGCCUUUGGAUGGGCCCGCGUUGGAUUAGCUAGUUGGUAGGGUAAAAGCCUACCAAGGCGACGAUCCAUAGCUGGUCUGAGAGGAUGAUCAGCCACACUGGGACUGAGACACGGCCCAGACUCCUACGGGAGGCAGCAGUGGGGAAUAUUGGACAAUGGGCGAAAGCCUGAUCCAGCAAUGCCGCGUGAGUGAUGAAGGCCUUAGGGUUGUAAAGCUCUUUUACCCGGGAUGAUAGUGACAGUACCGGGAGAAUAAGCACCGGCUAACUCCGUG